UGCAGGGUUUGCAUUGCAGCUUCCUUACGUGUGCUUUCCUGUUUUGCGGCAGUUGACAUUGGUAGUUAGAUAAAGAGAGAGGUUUCUGAAGUCAGGAGAUAUUAGUUGCCACAGAAGCACUAUGGAUAUUGGAACAGGAGAAACAGUUGCAUCCAUCUUAGAAUCAAAUUACAAGGCAAUAUUUGAAUGUUGUCUCUACGUGUCAAACUGACGAUUGUUUACUCAUGGUGCCAAGCAGACUGCUAGAGCUCCGAUGUUGGAUACAUGCCUGCAUAACUUUUCCCUUUUUCUACAUGCAAGAUCUCCAUUAGCAGCACAUCCUGAUCAUCUGCCAAGUAUUCUGGUGGAUGCUUCUCACUCUUUUUCCGAAACCUAGUGUACAUAUUGUCUCACAGAGGUCUUCCUCUUUUGGGCUCACAUGCACCAGCAUCAGCGUCUUGGAAUCCUCCCCUAAAUGCCAAGAGACGUAGGUAUGUCAUGC